UACAUGUGGGGCAAGCGUUGUUCGGAAUUACUGGGCCUAAAGGGUGCGUAGGUGGUUUGUUAAGUCAGGGGUGAAAUCCCGCGGCCCAACCGUGGAACUGCCUUUGAUACUGGCGAACUUGAGUGCGUGAGGGGUAGGGGGAACGAGCAGUGUAGCGGUGAAAUGCGUAGAUAUUGCUCGGAAGGCCAGAGCCGAAGGGGCCCUACUGGUGCGUAACUGACACUGAGGCACGAAAGCGUGGGGAGCAAACAGG
rnacentral:rRNA from 1 species